GUUGUUUUCGUUGCUAUUGAAGCCCAUCUAGCUUCAAUCUUUGUACAUGAUUGGCCAGUAACGCGUCCAUCAAAGCUUUUCUAAGACGCUAUUGGCUCAUUUGAGGUGACGUCAAACAACAUACCCCCGCCCCUCCCAGUCGACGAGGAAAUUCCACCCUCGAUAUAACUUUUACAAUAAAACCUUCGCAGUAGCGGUAUUUUUCACACACACAAGCGUCCAUUACGAACAUGUAAAGUAACGACUACGACGUGGAGCCGGGAAAACCCGAGGACGGUUGUGAGAUGAUGUGAGAUGGAAAGAACUGCACAGGAGGUUGGGUUGACAUCCCCUUCAACAAUACUGAAACAAAGGGAAACUGUCAAAUGACUUAUGGAAAUCAUACAAACUACAUUCUCACAGUGAUCACCAGGAAACCUAUGAAGGAGAACAAAAACAUAACGGAAAACCAUUGUGAUGAACUGAAACUUGGAGCUGUCCUCACAUACCCAGGAUCUGAAGCAGACAGAUCAUCCAACAUUUUCACAUGUUAACUGCAAAAUUAACUGAUGAAAACAGUACAAAGGUUAAAGUACCACAUGUGCUGUCAGUGAAAGCUGCAGCUGUUUUAUUGAUAAAGUUAAAGACAAAAAGUCAAAAGGAUUAAUCACCCCUAUAACUGUGUCACUAAAUAUCAGCAUUAACAGGACCUCAGUUUGGUGUUUCAGAGAGCUGCUCAUCUCAGACCUGCACAGCUUCCGUUUUAAACACUUGAUGUACUCAGCUGCAUGAUGAGCACAUUUGAUUUUCUCUGACACAAUUAAAUAAAACCUGAUGAAGGUCAAAGGUCGUCACUUGUGAUCAAACUUGUGA